rnacentral:rRNA from 1 species
GACGAACGCUGGCGGCGUGCUUAACACAUGCAAGUCGAACGGUGAAGGGACCGGUUUUUGCUGGUUCUGGAUGAGUGGCGAACGGGUGAGUAACACGUGAGUAACCUGCCCCCUUCUUCUGGAUAACCGCAUGAAAGUGUGGCUAAUACGGGAUAUUCUGCGCCUGCUGCAUGGUGGGUGUGGGAAAGAUAUUGUUUCGGUGGGGGAUGGGCUCGCGGCCUAUCAGCUUGUUGGUGGGGUGAUGGCCUACCAAGGCGGUGAGGGGUAGGCGGCCUGAGAGGGUGGACGGGCACAGUGGGACGGAGACACGGCCCAGACUCCUGCGGGAGGCAGCAGGGGGGAAUAUUGCACAAGGGGCGCAAGCCUGAUGCAGCGACGCCGCGUGAGGGAUGGAGGCCUUCGGGUUGUAAACCUCUUUCGCCAGUGAAGCAGGCCUGUCCCUUUUGUGGGUGGGUUGACGGUAGCUGGAUAAGAAGCGCCGGCUAACUACGUG